AAUUUUGGACAAUGGGGGAAACCCUGAUCCAGCCAUCUCGCGUGCGCGAUGAAGGCCUUCGGGUUGUAAAGCACUUUUGGCAGGGAAGAAAAGGUUCUGGCUAAUAAUCGGAACAGCUGUCGGUACUUGCAGAACAAGCACCGGCUAACCACGUGCCAGCAGCCGCGGUAAUACGUAGGGUGCAAGCGUUAAUCGGAAUUACUGGGCGUAAAGCGUGCGCAGGCGGUUUGGCAAGAAGGAUGUGAAAUCCCGGGGCUUAACCUCGGAACUGCAUUCUUAAAUGCCAGGCUAGAGUAUGUCAGAGGGGGGUAGAAUUCCACGUGUAGCAGUGAAAUGCGUAGAGAUGUGGAGGAAUACCGAUGGCGAAGGCAGCCCCCUGGGAUAAUACUGACGCUCAUGCACGAAAGCGUGGGGAGCAAACA
rnacentral:rRNA from 1 species